UACAGAGGUCCCAAGCGUUGUUCGGAUUCACUGGGCGUAAAGGGUGCGUAGGUGGCCAGGUAAGUUUGGUGUGAAAGCUCGGAGCUUAACUCCGAAAAGUCAUUGAAUACUAUCUGGCUGGAGGGUCGGAGGGGAGACUGGAAUUCUCGGUGUAGCAGUGAAAUGCGUAGAUAUCGAGAGGAACACCAGUGGCCAAGGCGAGUCUCUGGACGACUCCUGACACUGAGGCACGAAAGCUAGGGGAGCAAACAGG
rnacentral:rRNA from 1 species